rnacentral:rRNA from 1 species
UACGUAGGUGGCAAGCGUUGUCCGGAUUUACUGGGCGUAAAGAGCGCGCAGGCGGUCGUUCAAGUCGCGUGUGAAAGCCCCCGGCUCAACCGGGGAGGGUGGCUGGAAACUGUCGUUCUUGAGGGCGAGAGAGGAGGGUGGAAUUCCCGGUGUAGUGGUGAAAUGCGUAGAUAUCGGGAGGAACACCAGUGGCGAAGGCGGCUUUCUGGCCUGUUCUUGACGCUGAGGCGCGAAAGCUAGGGGAGCGAACGGG